UACGAAGGGGGCUAGCGUUGCUCGGAAUCAUUGGGCGUAAAGCGUACGUAGGCGGUUUAGUAAGUCGUUUGUGAAAUACCCGAGCUCAACUUGGGAAUUGCAAUCGAAACUGCUUUGCUAGAGUUUAGUGGGGGAUAGUGGAAUUCCUAGUGUAGGGGUGAAAUCCGUAGAUAUUAGGAGGAACAUCAGUGGCGAAGGCGACUAUCUACGCUAAUACUGACGCUAAGGUACGAAAGCGUGGGGAGCAAACAGGG
rnacentral:rRNA from 1 species